CUUCGGCCAUAUUAAAAAAAAAAAUGUGGUUUUAUCAUGCAGACUUGAAAGAAGGUGAUAAAGUGUUUUGAGGAUGCAUCUCAUUUGAUAGGUUACAAACGGUGGCUGGUGUGAUUAGAAAAGAAAUAAAGAAGCAAGCAAGCAAGCAUGUAAAAGUCCACGUGAAUCGGAAGUUGAAAGGGUUCGUUCUUUCUUACGAUUCUCGAGUCUUUUUGGUGAAGCGAGCUUUACAUUCGAGAUUGUUUUGCAGGUGUGUGAUUCGAGUCAGUGUUGCUCUUGGCCAGCGGAUGAGAUUACUUGUGUUAGGGUGGAAGGCAUUCUGUUUGUUAACAGCUAAAUAACAUUUUGAGUU